rnacentral:rRNA from 1 species
GGGCCCGCACAAGCGGUGGAGUAUGUGGUUUAAUUCGAUGCAACGCGAAGAACCUUACCAGGGUUUGACAUCCUGCGAAUUUCUGGGAAACCGGAAAGUGCCUUCGGGAGCGCAGUGACAGGUGGUGCAUGGCUGUCGUCAGCUCGUGUCGUGAGAUGUUGGGUUAAGUCCCGCAACGAGCGCAACCCACGUCUUUAGUUGCCAGCAUUUAGUUGGGCACUCUAGAGAGACCGCCGGUGAUAAACCGGAGGAAGGUGUGGAUGACGUCAAGUCAUCAUGCCCCUUACAUCCUGGGCUACACACGUGCUACAAUGGCCGGUACAGAGAGCAGCCACUACGCGAGUAGGAGCGAA